CUAGGUCGGAAACAUAAGGAAGAAAAGAGAAGGAAAAGUUUCUCAGUGUUCCUUCUGGGCUGCAUGCCGGUCGUUCUUAGAAGGACGGCAAAAGAAAAAACAGAGAACAAGAAAAGUUCAGGAAAGAACAAUUAUGAAAUGAAUGUAAGAGCUACUCUUCUAGAAGUCCCGUUGGAAAUGUGGAUUUUAUAGCAUCCAAAUGUUAUUUACAGAACAGAAAGCCAGAUUCUGCAACAAUGAGUGAAAAGAGGUGAAAUACAGAUUACAACACCACACCCUUGAAAACCUGGUGACCAAGUGAGCAAAGUUCAUCUCUCUCUCUCUCUGCGUGACCAGCUGGUGCAAGCAAGCUGUUUGAGUCCUGCUCCAUUCGAGGUGCUGCAGUGCUAUAUUUUCUGUACGAUAGCUGCAUUGUUCGUGUGACACCUGCCAAACUGGAUGCAGCUGGGCCAGAAGAGGCUGAAGAAGGCAGGAGCCUCUCUAACGGCAGCCAUCCACCCCUUCUUCUCAAUAAAGAGCCAGUUACAUCUGACUCAACCUCCAGCCAGUUCCAGAAUUGGUGUGAUGCUUCCACUCUCACGGAUUUUUGCAAUAGCGGCAAUCUGCCCGAAGUGGAAAUCAUCAGCCUUUUGGGGAACAACUACCCUUGUAUAAACUCCGGGCAGACACAGUAUUUGGAUAUGACC